rnacentral:rRNA from 1 species
UACGGAGGGUGCAAGCGUUAAUCGGAAUUACUGGGCGUAAAGCGCACGCAGGCGGUUUGUUAAGUCAGAUGUGAAAUCCCCGGGCUGAACCUGGGAAGUGCAUCUGAUACUGGCAAGCUUGAGUCUCGUAGAGGGAGGUAGAAUUCCAGGUGUAGCGGUGAAAUGCGUAGAGAUCUGGAGGAAUACCGGUGGCGAAGGCGGCCUCCUGGGCGAAGACUGACGCUCAGGUGCGAAAGCGUGGGGAGCAAACAGG